GAACGCCGCAGCCUAAAGAGCGGCGGAAUUGGAGCGUCGGGGAGACUAUGUCUUACCCUCCUGUGCCAGAGUUGCCCUCGAUCCGACUCUCCAGCGUCUCCACAGCCGGUAAAGGCCCAGCCAUCGUGCCCGCGGAGAGCAAAGCCUCUGGGCGCUACAGAUGUUCCAAGGGGAGGCGGGCGGUCUCUGCACCGUCCCCUGCCCCCAUUCAGCCCUCUGGCCCUGAAGUCUCAAAGAUGCAAGAGAGAGAGUGGAACGACCUUCCCUGACCUCAUUUUCAUGACGGCGCGAGCACACCCGGAGCCGGCUACGCACAUUCCGGAGCAGGCGCGCGCCGACACUCACACACUCACACGGGCACACACACACCCGAGACCUGGGCUGCAGGACCCUGCCCAUGCUUGAGUUCACACCAGCUCCGCCACUAUUCUGGGCACUGCCGGGGCUGUGGACGCUCAAAGAAUAGAUCCUCAUUAGCAUCUUGCUUUGAAUAUCAUUUGCAUUUUAUAUCAUGUCAAAACGCUCAGAACUCUCCCCAGCCCGCACCUCUCCCCAGAGCUUGAGAGUCGUGGGCCUCCAGCUCUAGCCCCUUCCCUGUGGGCCGAGCAGUUGCUGGCUGCACCCUCGCGUGGCCAGAGCACCACAAACACCCACAGCCCCAAGAGGGGCUUAACCUCUCCUGAGCUCUUGGCAAGUUCCAGGCCCUGCGCUAAGGGUUUAGGUGAAUGAUCUCAUUCAGUCCUUGCAACAACCCAAAGAGCUAAGCACUACGUUGUAUCCAUUUGAGAAAAGAGGAAACUGAGGCACAAAGACGCCUUGCUCAAGGUCAAGGAGCUAAAACUGGAGGAAGCGGAACUGAAAUCCAAGGCCGCCGGACGCCGAAGCCCGAAAGCUUAACCGCUUCGCCGCCCUGCCUCGCGCAAGGUCAAAGCUAAGGUAACCGCGACAGAAGAAAGUAUGUUUUCCUACGUAGAAGAAAGUCAUUCUCCGCCCCACCGCGACCCUUCCCCCACCCUGGCCGCGAGGGGACCCGGGCGCAUUCCCCCGGCGGGGGCUCUCAGCGCCCUCUCGUCGGGCCGCCCCUUGUCCUGACCCCUUUCCCAGCGAGGGCUCGGCCGAGUCCGGCCGCCGUGCUCUCGAGGUCGUCUGUCGGCGCUGGCUAGUUAAGAAAAAUAAACAACGUUCCAAAUGGAGGCGAUUCCUUUCAACCCAAGCCCCGCCGCCUGCCAGAGAAAUGCAAACAGCGGGGGACGGCCCG
ensembl:lncRNA